AUUGAACGCUGGCGGCAGGCUUAACACAUGCAAGUCGAGCGGGGUGAUGGUGCUUGCACUAUCACUUAGCGGCGGACGGGUGAGUAAUGCUUAGGAAUCUGCCUAUUAGUGGGGGACAACAUCUCGAAAGGGAUGCUAAUACCGCAUACGUCCUACGGGAGAAAGCAGGGGAUCACUUGUGACCUUGCGCUAAUAGAUGAGCCUAAGUCGGAUUAGCUAGUUGGUGGGGUAAAGGCCUACCAAGGCGACGAUCUGUAGCGGGUCUGAGAGGAUGAUCCGCCCCACUGGGACGGAGACACGGCCCAGACUCCUACGGGAGGCAGCAGUGGGGAAUAUUGGACAAUGGGGGGAACCCUGAUCUAGCCAUGCCGCGUGUGUGAAGAAGGCCUUAUGGUUGUAAAGCACCUUAAGCGAGGAGGAGGCUCUUUUGGUUAAUACCCAAGAUGAGUGGACGUUACUCGCAGAAUAAGCACCGGCUAACUCUGUGCCAGCCGCCGCAGUAA
rnacentral:rRNA from 1 species